rnacentral:rRNA from 1 species
GCAUAGCCGUAAACAAUGAUAUCAAGCACACUCGCUAUCCGCCCGGGAACUACAGGCAUUAGCUUGAAACCCAAAGGACUUGGCGGUGCUUUAGACCCACCUAGAGGAGCCUGUUCUAGAACUGAUAACCCCCGUUAAACCUCACCCUAUCUUGUCACAUCAGCCUAUAUACCGCCGUCGUCAGCUUACCUCUUGAGAGAAUAAUAGUGAGCAGAAAUGGUAAAACCCAAAAAGUCAGGUCGAGGUGUAGUAUAUGGUAGGGGAAGAAAUGGGCUACAUUCAUCUCCCGAUGAAUAACGGAUCGCUUAAUGAAAUACAAGCUUGAAGGAGGAUUUAGCAGUAAGAAGGAAAUAGAGAGUCCAUCUGAAACUGGCCCUGAAGCGCG